AUUAACAAUAGCAUUAUAAUUAUAUUGUCACGAAUGGGAGUGAGCUAAACAUUAAUACAUUGUGAAUUAAUACGUAGUAUAGUAUAAAAAAAUUUGUGUUUAGGGGUGAUAGGCCUUACAAAUUCCUUGAUAACUUGUUGCAUGUGAAAAGUAUUAAGUACAUAAAUAAAUUUAAAAAGUUAAGCUUUUAAAUGUGUAUAAAAAACAAUUUGUGUGUUUAACAUAGUGUAAUAGCUAGUUAUUAUACACUAGAAUAUUAAUUAUGUGAUGUUAUUGAAAAUAAUGUGCCGGUUUAUUGUGCUAUUACUUGAGAAUGUUAAUAUUAGUAGGCAUCAGUAAAUAUGCUAAAGGAACUCGGCAAAAUGACUGUUCAACUGUUUAUCAAAAACAUAGCUAUAUGAAUUAAUGUAUAG
rnacentral:rRNA from 1 species